CUCUAGGAUCUUCUAAGAUCCACAAAAUCCUCAUGAGAUAUAUAA
rfam:Picea glauca, whole genome shotgun sequence.